UUCCUCUCUGAGGAUUUGGAGGGGAGGGAGGCAGGAAGAGGUAGGGGUAAAAAGUACUGUGCUGCUGAGACCCCUUCCAGCACCUCAUGGCAGGUUGGGAGGCAAAACGCCCCAGGAGAGGAAGGAAGAAGCACACGUUGCAAAGGAACAGGAAAGAAAGAAUGCGCUGCCACUGCCGCCCUGCAUACCACACCGACCCUGCCAGCAGGGAAGAAGAAUGCGCCCUCGCCACCCCAGGGUCCAAGAUUAGCCUUCAGCUUCCCCCAGCUGGGAGAACAGGGAGGGCUGCCUGUUUCUAAAGCAGUUACGCAAGUAGUUGCAGUCUGCCAGGACAAGUAUGGAACGGCACUCCCUUGCAUGUGCCUGAAAUUUACACUAAUGAAAAUGACUACGGGUCACGGCUGGGAGACAAGAUUUUCUGAAUGGCACUCGGGCUUGGCGAUAUGGACCUGGACACUGGCACACUUGAGAGCCUGUCUCUGGGAAUUGUUGCGUUUCCUGGCACUCCCAUAGGCCUGCCCCCACCAUAAGGGAUUCUGGAUGGAGAAGGGGG